UCAUUCCUUAGUACGAGAGGACCGGGAAUGACGUGCCUCUGGUGUUCCGGUUGUCGUGUCAACGGCACCGCCGGGUAGCUAAGCACGGACUAGAUAAGCGCUGAAAGCAUCUAAGCGCCAAGCUAUUCCCAAGAUAAGAUCUCCAUUGGUCUUCGGACCAUAAAGGAUCCUGGUAGACUACCAGGUUGAUAGGUCGGAAGUGUAAGCAGGGCAACCUGUUGAGCUAACCGAUACUAAUGAUCCAAACCGUUUAGAUUC
rnacentral:rRNA from 1 species